CCUACGGGAGGCUGCAGUGAGGAAUAUUGGUCAAUGGGCGCGAGCCUGAACCAGCCAAGUAGCGUGAAGGAUGACUGCCCUACGGGUUGUAAACUUCUUUUAUAAAGGAAUAAAGUGAGGCACGUGUGCCUUUUUGUAUGUACUUUAUGAAUAAGGAUCGGCUAACUCCGUGCCAGCAGCCGCGGUAAUACGGAGGAUCCGAGCUUUAUCCGGAUUUAGUGGGUUUAAAGGAAGUGUAGAUGGGUUGUUAAGUCAGUUUGGAAAGUUUGCGGCUCAACCGUAAAAUUGCAAUUGAUACUGGCAGUCUUGAGUACAGUUGAGGUAGGCGGAAUUCGUGGUGGAGCGGUGAAAUGCUUAGAUAUCACGAAGAACUCCGAUUGCGAAGGCAGCUUACUAAACUGCCACUGACAUUGAUGCUCGAAAGUGUGGGUAUCAAACAGGAUUAGAUACCCGGGUAGUC
rnacentral:rRNA from 1 species